rnacentral:rRNA from 1 species
UACGUAGGCAGCAAGCGUUGUUCGGAGUUACUGGGCGUAAAGGGUGUGUAGGCGGUUUUCUAAGUCUGGUGUGAAAUCUCCCGGCUCAACUGGGAGGGUGCGCCGAAAACUGGAAGGCUAGAGUGCGGGAUGGGAGAGUGGAAUUCCUGGUGUAGCGGUGAAAUGCGUAGAUAUCAGGAGGAACACCGGUGGCGAAGGCGGGUCUCUGGGCCGAUACUGACGCUGAGGAGCGAAAGCGUGGGGAGCGAACAGG